UACAGAGGUCUCAAGCGUUGUUCGGAUUCAUUGGGCGUAAAGGGCGCGUAGGCGGCGGGGUAAGUCGGGUGUGAAAUCUCAGAGCUCAACUCUGAAACUGCACUCGAUACUGCUUUGCUAGAGGACUGGAGAGGAGAUUGGAAUUCACGGUGUAGCAGUGAAAUGCGUAGAGAUCGUGAGGAAGACCAGUGGCGAAGGCGGAUCUCUGGACAGUUCCUGACGCUGAGGCGCGAAGGCCAGGGGGAGCAAAACGGG
rnacentral:rRNA from 1 species